CCUACGGGAGGCAGCAGUGAGGAAUAUUGGGCAAUGGACGAGAGUCUGAACCAGCCAAGUAGCGUGAAUGAUGACUGCCCUAUGGGUUGUAAACUUCUUUUAUAUGGAAAUAAAAUGUUACACGUGUGGGUUUUUGUCUGUACCAUAUGAUUACGGAUCGGCUAACUCCGUUCCAGCACCCGCGGUACUACGGAGGAUCCGAGCGUUAUCCUGAUUUAUUGGGUUUAAAGGGAGCGUAGGUGGUGUUUUAAGUCAGUUGUGAAAGUUUGCGGCUCAAACGUAAAAUUGCAGUUGAUACUGGCAGUCUUGAGUACAGUAGAGGGGGGCGGAAUUCGUGGUGUAGCGGUGAAAUGCUUAGAGAUCACGAAGAACACCGAUGGCGAAGGCAGCUCACUGGACUGUAACUGACACUGAGGCGCGAAAGUGUGGGUAUCAAACAGGAUUAGAUACCCCUGUAGUC
rnacentral:rRNA from 1 species